ensembl:lncRNA
GUACUUUAGUAGGCUACUACAAUACACCCAUUGACGCUAUGAUAAGAUGACUACGCAUAUCUCAAAAAUAGAAUUCAAUUAAGGGUUGUUGUUUAGAUGGUGUACAAUGUUCAAUACUGAUGGUUGAGGAGGGAGUGGUGGUUUAGAAGGGGCUUUGAUGACAUUGACGCCACUUCCUCUGUCUUUAAAAGUCAGACCGACAGAGAGACAGAAGUAACCAGGGCUUAAGUGAUAGAGAUGUUCCUGCACUGGUGUCUGCUGUCGAUCAUGGUUUAUCUUUUCAUUCACCUCUUUUCUAUAGAAGCCAUUCUCUGGGUGAAGACAGGGGGGAAGUUUACCAUAAAGUGCUCCACCACUCUAAAAGACCAGGAAGGAAUGUACCUGUAUGUUGGGCUGGACAGGGACAGGGAGGUGUUGUAUUACCACCAGCGUGACUCCAAGCUGUCCCCCAGGAAAGGCUACUGGGACAGAGUGAAGACUGAGGGACCUGUGGACCAACUGACCAUCACCGUCAGUAACCUGACCAUAGAGGACACAGGAGUCUACUGGUGUGUUUACACAAAUGUCAACAAAUCCACGUUCAAUAAUUUGAUCAUCCAAGGCAAAGGCUCCACUCUGGUGGUGGUGAAUGGCUCAGACAGUGUAGUAGUGUGGGCACAAUAGCAUCUCAUUCGUGUGCAAGAUCUUGAGAAUCAACUGUACAUGUGAUGGAAGAAUGCACUGUGCAUGCAGUGGGUUGCAAUUCCAUUGAAUUGGGGAUAGUUUAAGCAAAAUAUUCCACAAGACCUAGGAUUGCCUUAUGUAUAUUCCACAAAAAAAGUUCACUGUUAUAACCUAACUUGUUUUGAUGAAUUUAAGCUAAAUAUCCCAAAUUCCCGGGCUUAACUUCCCAUGGAAAAUUUUCCGGAAAGUUUCCAACCCUUUGCAACCCUACUGGUCACUUUAAUAAUGGAACACAGGUCACUUUAAUAAUGGAACACAGGCCACUUUAAUAAUGGAACACAGGUCACUUUAAUAUUUACAUACUAUUUUACCCAUUUCAUAUGUAUAUACUGUAUUAUAGUCCAUCUUAUUCAACUAUUGUUGUACAUAUACUAUUCUAUCCACAGAUUCUUCAGAUAUACUAUUCUAUCCACAUACUGUCCAUAAUGUUUAUACAUCCCACAUUGCUCGUCUUAAUAUUUAAACAUUUCUUAAUUCCAUUCUUUUACUUUUAGAUUGGUGUGAAUUGUUAUUUCUCAUUAGAUUUUACUGCCCUGUUGGAGCUAGGAACACAAGCAUUUCACGACACAUGUAAUAACGUCUGCUAAACAUGUGUAUGUGACCAAUAAAAUGUAAAACAGUAGUGGUUGUGUCACACCCUGGCCGAGAGGGGUUCAAUUCAAUUCAGAGGCGUCAAUAGCUCAAUACAAACUAUUUAAAAUAGGCUACUAAAAUCAUCCACAUCCAGAUUAAAAGGAAAAUGCAGUUAGCAGAAUUAAAGGCUGACUUUAUGACCAUGUGGAAUACCUGGGAGACGGAGGUAAGGCUGUUUGUAUGGCUGGCUGAAUUUAGGGAGAGCAGAGAUCUGUAUUUAAUGACUAGAAGCUCAUGUCUCCACCCUAACAAUGGGAGUAGUUGGCAGGAAGGCAGGCGACAAAAUAACCCCAUAGAAACGCAUUGGGCUUAUUUUGGCAAGAUUUUGGCAAGAGGGGAACCUCUCGCUUCGCCUGUUCCUCUCUGUGGAGACCACAGGAGGUUGUCGAGGGGUAGUAAUGGCUGGAACGAAGGUAACUACUGUUUAACUUGACAUGAAACUAAACUAGCGUUUUAAUCCCAGUGCUGAGCUUGUAGUAGCAGGCAGCUAAUUGUUGAAUGACCUGUUUGUAGAAUAGUCAAUUCAAGUAAAAUUGUACUGAUUGCGCUCACACAUCUUAUUGCAGGUGCAGCGAAAUGCUCCAACAGUGCAGUAUUAGAUAACAAUACACAUAUGUAUAUGAUGGUGUGUAUAGACAGUAUAUGAAUAUAAAAGGUGUGUACAGCAGAGGAGGCUGGUGGGAGGAGCUAUAGGAGGACAGGCUCAUUGUAUAGGCUGGAAUUGAAUGGAGUCAAACACAUUUCAAUGUGUUUGGUACCAUUCCAUUGAUUCCAUUCCAGCCAUUACAAUGA